GAUGAACGCUGGCGGCGUGCCUAAUACAUGCAAGUCGAGCGAACAGACGAGGAGCUUGCUCCUCUGACGUUAGCGGCGGACGGGUGAGUAACACGUGGAUAACCUACCUAUAAGACUGGGAUAAUUUCGGGAAACCGGAGCUCAUACCGGAUAAUAUAUUGAACCGCAUGGUUCAAUAGUGAAAGACGGUUUUGCUGUCACUUAUAGAUGGAUCCGCGCCGCAUUAGCUAGUUGGUAAGGUAACGGCUUACCAAGGCAACGAUGCGUAGCCGACCUGAGAGGGUGAUCGGCCACACUGGAACUGAGACACGGUCCAGACUCCUACGGGAGGCAGCAGUAGGGAAUCUUCCGCAAUGGGCGAAAGCCUGACGGAGCAACGCCGCGUGAGUGAUGAAGGUCUUCGGAUCGUAAAACUCUGUUAUUAGGGAAGAACAAAUGUGUAAGUAACUACGCACGUCUUGACGGUACCUAAUCAGAAAGCCACGGCUAACUACGUG
rnacentral:rRNA from 1 species